GUUGACCGGUCUUAUGUGAAUCCUGGGGUACUCUAGCCCCCUCCCUUGGAGUUGGGACCGAUUCCAUCUAGAUCUGGGAUUCACUCUGAUCACCUGCAACGCCUUCUUUCCCCGAUUCAACUUCCCUAGUUUAUCGCAUCUACCCGCAUUAGGGAAGGCUGGUAAUGGCUCUCCUUGGGCACUGGGGCAGAAUUGUGGCGAGAAACACGUCCAGAUAGCAUCAGGCAUGCAUACUGUAUACAAAUGGGAGCAAGAAGAGAGAGGACUAUCGCGGUGCGCAGGGUAUUUGAGAGGCUGGAUGAGGAGGCGCGGCGCCGAGGGGCGGCGCUCAAGCUUACAGUAUUUGAGAAGACCUGAGUUAAGGGGACGGGCUCCAGUGGGGCGGGGGUGGGGAGAGGGAGGCACGCAUGCGCAAGGCUUGAAUGGCGUCGGGGUUGGAGGGUUGGAAGGUCGGGAAGUGAAGGACUCGCAGGCAUAUUUACCAACGCAAAGUUGCUAGGAGUUGGUACCAGCGUUUGGGAGGUAGAGGUGGCGCUCAUGCAUAUUUGAGACAACAUCUGGAUGGUUGGGGAGAACGGUAAGGAGGAAGCGGCGCGCAUGCGUAUUUCAGACGGAGUGCCGGGGAGGGGAGGCGCUCAGCGUUCGGGUAAUUAAGGUUGCAAAAUGGCGAGGGGGGAGGUAAGCUGUCUUUGCUUGGCCAUCUUGGGCUAGCAGGCCUUGCAGAGAACUACCUUUUUAGCUGAGUGAAGGGAUCAACCUGAGUUGGAGUUCUCCUAUGCUGUGGCCAGAUCCACUAGAAAUUAACCCAGAAUCUUAGCCUCUCAGUGGCCUAUCGGUAAGUGGGUACAAAAAUGAGGAGGCGAUGAUGACUCUGCAAAAGGUUGCGGCAGCUGGCGGUGCGUAGGAAAUGCGUAAAAAGGGAGCACUUGGAGACAGGCCACAUUUGGGCAGUACGCAUUCGGAGGGCUCUCUGGCUUUCCGAUCUUGGGUCGCUGUACUUGGCUCUGAAUACAGUCACCCCAUCAGAGUAGCAAAACACUGUGGUUGUAGUGUGAGAAUCCAAUGUUAAUGUUGGCCGAAAGCUCUUGAUUUUCUCCCCUGAGAACAUAGGCGUGACGAUUUGGAUGUGUUUCCAAAUGCUUGUUACUCUUUGCCGUAAACCUGGAAUUUGGACCUAUGGCUGCCUGGGACUCAUACUGUCGUGGAGAAAGAUUGAAAAGUAGUUAAUGGCAGUGGUGGUAUGAAGGUGAUGCCACACUCAAUCAGAAACUAUGCUACUGCUGAAGAGGUAUAUUGAGCCCUGCCUGGUUAACCUCCAGUGAGGUUAUUAGAGAAUUGGGAGAGGCUCAAAUCAGCAUCCUGCACCUAGUUAUCAAACCAUUGUGAAUUCUUGAUUCCUGGAUGGCCAGAAAACUUGUCAUUGGUCAAGAGCAACAUUAAGAUCUGCCUGUUACUCAUACUGAUGCUUCCUGCCCAGCAAGUUCAUCAGAGGGCGAGGAUGAAUUACGGUUGCCAUGAAUGUCCUUGUGAGGCAGUUGGGAAGCCUUGGCUGGAUUGUGAAGGAUAUUUGAAAAGUAUUUUAGAGUCCACCAGAUCAUCCAUGUGAGUGACCAUGCAGCAAAAGAAGGAGGGUCCUCUCAGUGAUUAAGGUAACAUAGUGAUUAAGGUAAGUAGGGAAAGAGAGGCUUACUUUGCCCUGAUUCUUGUCAGGGAGGCUCUUAGAGAUGCCAUUUCCAGAGCAUAAGUGACAGGCCAGCACUUUCAAAGCCUGCAACUUAUUCUAUAAUAUAUCCUUCUUAAAACAAUUCAUGUAGAUUAUAUGCUCACCCAGUCUGGGAUCACUCCUGCAGAAGAUCAGAAGAACUGAAAUAUAGGUGACAUAAGCUCCUGCUUUUGUAAAUGUUUUGUUGAAACACAGUUGUGUUCAUCCAUUAUUGUCGAUGGCAGCUUUCAUGCUACAGCAGAGUUGAGUAGUUGGGAGAGAAACCAUAUGGACCAUAGAGUUUGAAAUAUUACUGUCUGGCCCUUCACAGAAAGUUUGCCAAUUCCUGGCAUAGGUUAAAUAAAUGUACUAUAUCCACAAAUCCUCCUCUCCCCAUUUUCCUUUCAAUGGGACUUGCAUUUACAGUUGAUCCUAGAAUGUAUGGAAUCUCAUAGUAAUCAGCUUGCUUCUGAAUUUCUUCCCACUCAAAUUAAGCUCACUCAGAAAGCACAUUCACAAAUUGGGCUACAUAUACAGAAGGAGCUAUGUUUUAUAUGCCUCACUGUAGUCAACUCAUUUAUCCUAUAUGUAUGGUUCCCCCAUUUUUUCCUUCUUUUCAGGGGUAACUUUUAAACUUGAGCCAUUCAUGAGUAUCCAAAAAGUUACAACUUAUGUUUUCUAAUUAAGACUUCAUCCUUAUUUUAGUAUACUUCCCCUCUCUGGCUUUUUUUCAUAUUUCUGCAGAUGUCUUGACCUUUCUGGGGAGUAAGCCCCCUUAGAAGAUUAAUUUUCUGUAGUUCUCUAUUGAGGAAAUACAUGACAUUUAGCUUUUUAAUAAUUUGAUGCCAUUCAUUGAGUACCUACUGUGUGCUUUAUGUACCCUGUCUCAUUGAAUUUUUACAAAAAACUGAAAGAGUUAGUUUUGUGUUAUUACUACCUCCAUCUCAAAGAUGAGUCUUGGAAAGCUUAAGUAACUUUAGGUCACAUUGUAAUCAGUGGCAGAACUGGGACUUAAGAACAUAAUUCAUGACUGCAUUUUCUUUUCUUUCUUUCUCUCUCUCUCUCUUUUUUUUUUUUUUUUAAAGAGAUAGCAUCUCACUCACUAUGUUGCCCAGACUGGUCUUGAACUCUUGGGCUCAAGCAAUUCUUCCACCUCCGCCUCCCAAAGUGUUAGGAUUAUAGGCAUGAGCCCUCAUGCCUGCCCCUUGCAUUUUCUAUUUAAGUGAUCUUGAAGUUUUUUUUUUUCCUUUUUAAAUCUCGGAAUUUGGCCUUUAGUAAGCAUAGAAUAGCAAAGUAUAAUACCUGAGCUGGGGAAAAAAGUCCUUGAAUUCUUUAGGAAAGACUUAAUUGGUGGGUACAAAGUGAAAUGCUCACUGGAAUCAGGAAUCAGAAACCAGUUCUGAUCACCUAUCCCUAUAUAUCCUUCUUCACUCUGCCCUGGCAUAUCAUGGUUGAUGUACAUAGCAAUGAUCAUCCCUUCUGUAAUCCCACCUGACAGUUUAGAAGUGGAUUGAUAAUACUCUUCUGGCUUAAAACCCUUCUUCUCUGGGCAGGUGUGGUGGCUCCUACAUUAUCCCAGCACCUUGGGAGGCCGAGGUGGGAGGAUUGUGUGAGCCCAGGAGUUUGAGACCAGCCUGGGUAACAUAGCAAGACCCUGUCUCCACAAAAAAAUAAAAAAUUAACUGGGCACGGUGGUGCUCACGCCUGUAAUCCCAGCACUUGGGGAGGCCGAGACGGGUGGAUCACGAGGUCAAGAGAUCGAGACCAUCCUGGCCAACAUGGUGAAACCCCGUCUGUACUAAAAAUACAAAAAUUAGCCGGGCGUGAUAGCAGGCGCCUGUAGUUCCAGCUAUGGGAGGCUGAGGCAGGAGAAUCAGAUGAACCUGGGAGACGGAGGUUGCAGUGAGCUGAGAUCACGCCACUGCACUCCAGCCUGGUGACAGAGUGACACUCCGUCUCAAAAAAAAAAAAGAAACGAUCACAUCCAGAUGUCCUGUUACUGGAAGGGCACCAUAGUUUAUCCUGCACCUGACACUAAUACACCUACUCUGGGAAUUCUUCUACCUACAACUAUUUAUUUAUCUGAUCCCAUCUGGUAUUAAAGUUCUAAAAGUUAACAGAAUUCUUAAAGGUUCCCAAUGCCUCCCAGAAACCCCAUCAUCUCAAAAUCACUAGCUAUUAAAAGAAGCAAAAAAAAAAAAAAAA